UAUUGCUCAUAGUUGGUAGAUUCUAUACGUAAUGAUAUCAAAACAAACACCUCACUUUCUACAUUUAGUUCUUUCGUGAACCCUUAUAAUGCCGAACAACGAUAUAUCGUUGUCGGCAAUACUUGCGAAAAUGAUAAAAACAAAAUUAAGUUUACGUAAAUUUUGUGGAAUUGUAAUGUAUGAACUAAUUUUUUAUAAACCAUAAAUAUACUGAGUGUCCCACGCAACUAAACGGUUGGAAGUAGAAAAAGAUGUUAAAAGUGAAAGUUAAAUGGUGUCGGAUGGUGCAUGACAUGGAACUAAUUUUGUGCAUUUUUGUGCAUCGGUGCAUCAGAAAAUGCAACUGCAUUAAAAUAAAAAAAAAAAAAAAAAAAAAAAUGGAAACCUAUAUUUCUGGCGACACAGAUGGAUGCAGCUUCUUGUGUUCUACAAAAAAAAGUAUUAACAUAGUGAUGCCCUAAAUUUUUUUUAAAUAAUUCUAUAAUGUUUCAAAGUUCCGUUGAACAUGCUUCCUUCCCUGUUUCUUUUUUUCACGAGGCUCCCUAUAAAAGGCUAUGUUACCUACGUGCACAGGCAACGUAGGUUACUUAAUACUGCGUGGGGUGUUUUCAGAUGUCAUUAGCGGGUAUGCGAAAUAAUUCGAGGUCAAAUGUUGACGUUUAGGGAACAGUUUAUGCGCGCCAAGUAUUCAUCGUCUAAUCAGCGUGCUCCUUGCAGCGUGUAUCGACAUUUGUUUGCGCUUCUCGAAAUCUGUUAACUGAAAUAAUGCUUCGCACGCUGUGCAAUUUCAAAAUAUAACCACACAAACUUUUGGGAGUUGAAUCACCGACAUUCUCUGCUUACAGCGUCUCCAAAUGUGGCAAAGAAACGGCGGAACGCUUCAACUUAAACUCGUACGACCGAGAAAACUCCGAGGAUGAAAACAGCGAGGAAAAUGUUGGGAAUAAAUGCAUAGAAAAGUCGUCUGGCACGACCGUAGUCCAUGAUCUUGAGCGGCAUUCUCGAGUCGUGGGAGUCCUUCGCAUAAUUAACGCCACGAAAGAAUGCAACGGUGAAAGAGAAGGCUUAGAGUAAGAGAAAAACAGCUUUGCGUACGAGAGAAAGACGGAAACGGUCGCGAAAUGAAAGGCGGGGACAGAGAUGCGAACAGCGGCUACAGGAAAAAAGAAAGACGAAACAGAGACGGAAUAGGAGCGACGUAAUUAAUGAUUUCUCCGUAAUAAUUAGCGUUUUCACUGAUCUUGACUGGCCCGCGAGUUCCUUCCUUCAGGAAGAAGUAUAAAUCGAAACCGUGAAAUUAACAUUCAAGAGAACAGGAAAAGAAAACUCGUCGAUUUGUCGAUAAUUGUUAUACCUCGGUUCGGAACAAUUUUCUCAGUAGGAAGGAUUACGUAAAACAUUGUACAACGAUUGGUAUGCCAAUGAAGUAUGCUAGAAGAGACUUCAUGCGUGUAAAAGCGUUUUCCGCGAGUCUGAUCCAUAUUAUAGAACGAAGGUGGGUGCAACGUAUAACGGAAUGCCGCAGAUACCACCCACGGCUGGGAUCACUAACAUUUCCCAUAUGGCCGUUAUCCAAAGAAAAUGUGUAUACACGGUUCCGGGUUCACGGCUGUGGGACGUCGCUGGUCACGCGAUUCACGCGCUCGGAUAAUAACCGCACGAGAACCUUCUUCGAAGGGCUCGAGGAAGUCGCGAGGAGAGUCGUUAACGAACCUAAGCUUCUGAUUACUACUACGUGGAUCUGAAAUACGCCGAGGAAGGUGUAC